rnacentral:rRNA from 1 species
AACGCUGGCGGCGUGCCUAACACAUGCAAGUCGAACGAGAAAGUGGAGCAAUCCAUGAGUACAGUGGCGACCGGGUGAGUAACACGUGAUCAACCUACCCUCGAGUGGGGAAUAACUCCGGGAAACCGGAGCUAAUACCGCAUAACAUCUUCGGUCCACAUGAACUGAUGAUCAAAGGAGCAAUUCGCUUGAGGAGGGGAUCGCGGCUGAUUAGCUAGUUGGUAGGGUAAUGGCCUACCAAGGCUUAGAUCGGUAUCCGGCCUGAGAGGGCGCACGGACACACUGGAACUGAAACACGGUCCAGACUCCUACGGGAGGCAGCAGUGGGGAAUUUUGCGCAAUGGGGGAAACCCUGACGCAGCAACGCCGCGUGGAGGAUGAAGUCCCUUGGGACGUAAACUCCUUUCGACCGGGAAGAUACUGACGGUACCGGAUGAAGAAGC